rnacentral:rRNA from 1 species
AGUGAACGCUGGCGGUAGGCCUAACACAUGCAAGUCGAACGGCAGCACAGUAAGAGCUUGCUCUUACGGGUGGCGAGUGGCGGACGGGUGAGGAAUACAUCGGAAUCUACUUUUUCGUGGGGGAUAACGUAGGGAAACUUACGCUAAUACCGCAUACGACCUACGGGUGAAAGCAGGGGAUCUUCGGACCUUGCGCGAUUGAAUGAGCCGAUGUCGGAUUAGCUAGUUGGCGGGGUAAAGGCCCACCAAGGCGACGAUCCGUAGCUGGUCUGAGAGGAUGAUCAGCCACACUGGAGCUGAGACGCGGACCCGAAUCCUACGGGAGGCAGCAGUGGGGAAUAUUGGACAAGGGGCGCAAGCCUGAUCCAGCCAUACCGCGUGGGUGAAGAAGGCCUUCGGGUUGUAAAGCCCUUUUGUUGGGAAAGAAAAGCAGCAGGUUAAUACCCCGCUGUUCGGACGGUACCCAAAGAAUAAGCACCGGCUAACUUCGU